UUUUUUGUGUGGAUGAGAGAAAAUAUUUAAAAAAUUAAUUUUUUGAGAGCAUUUGAGAGAAAUUCAAAAAGCAGAACUGCAAACCACUCCUGCCUUGAAUCACGUAAGUGUGUGUGAUUCUGGGCCCGAGUGAAUGCACUUGGGUAUCAAGAACAAGUUCAGGGGAUUUUGUUUCCCAGGGGAAAAAAAAGUUUUAAAAUUCAUCAGCCUUCACCAAAAAAAAUUAAUCAUCAUGAUAAUUGGAAUAAGGUAUAAAGGUCCUUAAGCAUACAUUAUUGAAGGAACUUUCUUCAAUAUUGAUUAGAUGGAAGGAAAAAAACACCAAGUGCUGAAUUAGCUUUUACACACGUGCACUAGAUGGCGUGGAAGUACACACGUUGACGUAUAAACACAUGUUGAAUGCCACGGACUUCUGGAGCUAAAGGCUUUGGAGGAAAACUGGAUAAAGAAGUUGCAAUUAUGAUAUCUGAUCACUGAAACAAAAUGAAAAUUAUUCUGCCUUUUGUGCUCAAGUAGCAAAAAAAGAAUUUAUGCAUUUCACACACCAAAUUAUCCCAUUGGCGAAGAGGCUCAAAGUGAUUCACAGGGCAUUUGCUGUAAAGUGUAAUGACUGUGUGUUGGCGUCAAUCCUCCCAACCACAGCAGCCUACAGUCACCCCAGAUACAGUCACUGAGCUCUUUUCCGUUGGAGUGACAAUAUAUCAGGUGUAUCUUUUUAAACAGCAUCAUGUUUAUAAUAAUAAAUGUUUAUGUUACAAUUA